rnacentral:rRNA from 1 species
GAGCUGGGUUCAGAACGUCGUGAGACAGUUCGGUCCCUAUCUGCCGUGGGCGUUGGAUGAUUGAAGGGAGUUGCUCCUAGUACGAGAGGACCGGAGUGAACGAACCUCUGGUGUUCGGGUUGUCACGCCAGUGGCACUGCCCGGUAGCUAAGUUCGGAAUCGAUAACCGCUGAAAGCAUCUAAGCGGGAAGCGAGCCCUGAGAUGAGUCAUCCCUGACCCCUUGAGGGUCCUAAAGGGCCGUUGGAGACCACAACGUUGAUAGGUGGGGUGUGUAAGCGCAGUGAUGUGUUGAGCUAACCCAUACUAAUUACCCGUGAGGCUUAACCAUACAACACCCAAGAAGUGUUCUG